GCUGGGUGUGGUGGUAGGCACCUGUAAUCCCAGCUACUUGGGAGGCUGAGGCACGAGAAUCGUUUGAACCUUGGAGGUGGAGGUUGUAGUGAGCUGAGAUCAUGUCACUGCAUUCCAGCCUGGGUGACUGAGCAAGACUCUGUCUCAAAAAAAGGAAAACAAACAAACAAAAAAAUGCUCUGUUGCCCAGGCUGGAGUGCAGUGGCAUGAUCUCGGCUCACUGCAACCUCCGUCUCCCGGGUUCAAGUGAUUCUCCUGUCUCAG
rnacentral:sRNA from 1 species